UGUGUGUGUGUUGAGUGUGUGUGUGUGUUGAGUGUGUGUUGAGUGUGUGUGUGUUGAGUGUGUGUUGUGUGUGUGUGUUGAGUGUGUGUUGAGUGUGUGUGUGUUGAGUGUGUGUGUGUGUGACAGGUUUGGAGGAUUCUCAUGUUGGUGUGGUUUGGUCACAGCUUCUGUCAGUAGAAGUGACACUUUUACUCUGAUCAAGAAGCAAUUUGAAGAAAAGGAGAAAACAGUUUUAAAUCCACAGACAUGGACAUCACACUGGGAGAGUUCUGUCCACAAGUCACUUCAAGUCUUCUCUGUUCACACUUACGUCACAAACCAAGAAGACGUUUGGAAAGAUGGGAUUAAAGCUCUCCAGGCCCAGUUGUCUUCAUCUCCGUGUCGUUGGAGUGUUCCGUUCUGUUCGGCUCAUCAACAGUUCCAACCACACCUCAGUUUUCAUCUUUUCCUCCCGGACACACAGCUCUGACUGCACUGCUGCAUGUGAUUAGAAGAGAUGAGGGGCUCAAUUCCAGCACAUGCGUCUGCAGUCUCCAUCACAUUUCCUUCAGUGGGUUUGAUCACAGUCGGGUGAGUCCAGCGUUGGGAAAUACACCUGAAGUCGUCAUCGCGUGUUUCCAAACGUCUUCCUGGUUUGUGACAUGAGGGUGAAUAGUCUAUUUACAAAUACUUUUCUGAUGCUGUACAAAAAUGUUGCUAGGUAAUAGUUCUGGAUUUCCCUAGUGUGAUGUCAUGAUUUCCAGGAAGUCUUUUGAAAACUAAAAAUAGCUCAUAUGUGAUCUUAAGUGUGUUGUAAUAUUCACUAGUCGGGCCUGUCGUGGGCACUUUAACAUCCACUCAGAUCCCACUCCUGACUUGAGCUCAUGAGUCAGGUCAUGUGUGGACCUGAGCCUUUAUCUUUUGGUUUCUGCUUUGAGUUGGAGCGUUAUUUUGAACUUUUCUUUCAAAAACAUUUCCACACAACUAGAACUUCUCCGUUAUUAUGGCUUAGGACUUGACAUUGGAAUUCUGGAUGUCCUUUUUUUUCAUUUUUGGAAAUCUUCUGACUUCAGAAAGAACAUUUAAUAUUAAGUCGUUUUGUAUUUUUGCUCUCACAGAAUUUUUGAACUACAUGGCCUGUACCUCAAUGCUGUUUUAGCUCAGACAGGAUGAGAGGAUGAGCUGCGUUCACUCUUUCACACGUGUGUCCAGUGAACAUGGGGAGUUUGAUGUCUCGUCCAGGCCUGUGUGAUCAUUACUGCAGCCACUUGUCUUUCAGUGUAUGAAAGAUGGAACUAUUUUGGGGUUCAAUAUUUAUCGUGUGAUCUCGUUCCAAAUAGGAAGUGUUCAUGGAGGCACUUCCAGCUCCAUUCACUCCAGGUCCAGUUCACUUAGUAUUGAAAAAAUACUCCUCUCUUUAACUGCUGCUGUGACCCUUGUUAUUUUCACUUCAGAUGUUCACAUUAAGUCCCUCUACAUGAUCCUGGGGUUUUAUUUCUCUAUUCUGUCCAUAAAUAAAUUCCUAUUCCUAAUAAAAAUCCUCCUCCUCCAAACGGAGGAUCUUAAAUAUAUUAUUUAGAUGAGAUUAAAUGACAAAUUGUAAUCUGAAAUUUGCACUUUGAAUUAAAUUUUCACUUUUUCUUCUAAAAAUGCUUUUUGUUUUUGAACAAAGACUUAAUUUUCCCCUUGAAUAAACUGGAGAACCGGAGAAGUGAGAAUGAACAAACACACAGUGAAGCAGUUUUGAUCAGAUGGAACAUUUCUUUAAAGUGAAUCGUGUCAUUUAUUAAUGGACUUCUAAUGCUCAAAGCUCAGGCUUUUUAACAGAGUUUAAUGACAUUUGCUUAGGAUGUAAACUGUAGCUCUGAAAGUGGUUUCCCUCUGGAGAUGUUUUAAUAAUAGACCUUAUUAUACACUGUGACUGCGUCGACAAAUCACACUAAACUCAAACUGAGCUGAGUUUGUUCUUCCAGCGCUGCUGUCAUGUCACUAAAUGAGCAAACACAUGAAAACUAGAGAUGCAUCCAUACAAAUACUGAAGUAGAAAAUACUUCAUUGAGCUGUUAAUGGUGAAGAUCGGGUAUGAGCACAUACGUAGAAUCAUAGGAUCAAUGAUGGAAUCAGAAGUGAAUGUGUGCAUCUCUACUUAAACUAUGCAUGAGUGUAAAAUCUCCUCUUUGUGUUCUGUUUAAAGAGUUUUGGACAUGUUUCACAGUGAGCGCUGAGACCACGAUGAGAACAUGACAGACGCACAAAAAUAAACACUUCUCUAAACAAACGGUGUGCCCUUAGAAAAAAGAAUUCAUACAUUUGUGGAAAUUUGUACAUUUGACUUUUGAAAUGUUUUAAUAUUUUGUGCAAAUACAAAAAUCAAGCACUAUUUUCAAGAGGCAUUUAAAAUGACUAAAGUCUUUUAUAAAGUAUGAACUAUUAUUCAUGAAGACAUUACUUUGGAGAAAUUUAGACCAGUAAACCCAAACUGUACCUGAGAUUUGUAUUUUCGACUGAAAUGACAAAAAGAAAGAGCGUGGGGUUAAAGGGAAUCUUGAGUUUAGUUGAAAUGUAUAAGUGUAAUAGUUUUGUGGCUGCAGAACGUUUGGCAGUAACUUCCUUAAUUCCACUAAAUGUGUUGCUUUUGUGUUUGGAACUAUUGGUUUGUAAAAUGAAUGUGUAUAUAUGAAUUGGGGCAUAUGGAUUUAUUUGUAUAGUUUUGGAUUUUGAAAAUAUGAUGCCAUUUCAGAAAUGUAACUUUAACAUUUGCAGCUUUUUAAUAACGUAGAAACAUUUUGGACUUUUCUUUCUUUUAAGAGCUGUGGAGAAACGAUAUAAAGGAGCUGCUUUGAUUCUCAGCUGCUCAUGUGUUGGAAACAGUGACAUUCUGAAACAGCUGAGACUUGUAGUUUAUGUUUUGUCUGUAGUUGAAUUCAAGUUGAAAUGGCUCCGACUGUAAACAGCAAUUUGUACUAAAUCUGCCCUGUGCAUAAACGUGAUUCUGACAAA